CUCGGACUUCAAAUACCUACAGUCGCACAUCGACAAAUUCAUCUGGUCGAAUAAACGACCGAGAGUGAAAAGGGCGACCAUGUACAUCCCUAACAGGACGGGAGGCCUGGGCCUACCCCACUUACAACACUAUUACCACGCGACGCAAGCCACACAGAUACAACAUCUACACGCCCCACCGGGGACGAAGCGCUGGGUGGACCUAGAACACGACAUAUUUGGCUUCGACCUCCCCUCAUUGUACAUAUGGGUCCCACGGACCUCCCGGCCCAUGCCACCACCCAUACCCCCGACAUUAGCUAAUUAUAUCAGCACCUGGGAUAAGCUUACCCAAAAAUUCCCUAUCAUCAACAACCCAUCACCACUGACACCCAUACUGCGCAAUAAAGCAUUUAGCCCAGGAAUGAACCCAAAAGAUUUCUCACACUAUGAACACAACGACCUUUAUAGAAUAUGCCACUUCUUUGAGGGAGGAAAACUAAUGCAAUACAAAGACCUUCCCCAACAACACUCACCAUACAACACACAUGACUUUUUCAGAUACAUACAACUAAAGAGCUUUUUGGAACUCCCUGAAAAUAGGAUAGCAGCCACCAACAGAUGUACAACAUUUGAACGAGCAUGCAUGCAUAACCCAGCCCGCAAGGGCCAGAUCACUGAUAACUAUAGCCUGCUCAUCUCUACUCAUGCCCCAGGAGCGAUGGCAUAUGUGGCGGCUUGGGAGAGGGAUCUGGGGCCACCGGGAGACCCGAAUGACUGGCAGGACAUAUGGGAGGCCACAGCAUCUAUCUCUAUCUGUGUCAACCACAAAGAGCAGGCCUAUAAAACUCUACUACGAUGGUAUCUAACCCCCGCAAGACUAUACCGAAUGGGUAGGACCGACUCGGACCUCUGCUGGAAGCGGUGUGGGCAAAGGGGAACAUACAUACACCAAUGGUGGCAAUGCCCAAAACUAGCACCGCUUUGGGCGGAGGUGGCCCGCCUGGUCUCCAGCUUACUCCACACAGACAUACCCUUAGACCCUUGGAUCUGGCUCCUAUCCAAACCCUGGGAACCUUUAACCAGAGCCCAAAACAAAUUAGCAAACAGAAUAGCUCUGGCUACAAGGAGGGCGAUAGCAGAACUCUGGGGCUCCCCGGAGGUCCCCACUUUAGCCACAAUCAUCCGCAAAACCAGGGAAGCCAUUGAAAUGGACAGAAUCUCAGCCCUAGUCCAUGAAACGUCAG